AGUGAACGCUGGCGGUAGGCCUAACACAUGCAAGUCGAACGGCAGCACAGUAAGAGCUUGCUCUUACGGGUGGCGAGUGGCGGACGGGUGAGGAAUACAUCGGAAUCUAAUUUUUCGUGGGGGAUAACGUAGGGAAACUUACGCUAAUACCGCAUACGACCUACGGGUGAAAGCAGGGGAUCUUCGGACCUUGCGCGAUUGAAUGAGCCGAUGUCGUAUUAGCUGGUUGGCGGGGUAAAGGGCCACCAAGGCAACGAUACUUAGCUGGUCAGAGAGGAUGCUCAGCCACCCCGGACCUGAGACACGGCCCUGACUCCUACAGGAGGCAGCAGUCGGGAAUCUUAGACAAUGCGCGCAAGCCUGAUCGAGCCAUACCGCGUGAGUGACGAAGGCCUUCUGUUCGUAAACCUCUUUUAUUGGGAAAGAAAAGCUGCAGAAUAAUUCCCCACUCUUCUGACGGUACCCAAAGAAUAAGCACCGGCUAACUUCGUG
rnacentral:rRNA from 1 species